AACCUCCCAGGACCGCGUCUGGCGAGUGGCUCAUAUUCUGCCAGCUUCGGAGACGGGAGGAAAAACAGGCCUGGCAGAGGCACCCAUUCCAUUCCCUGCUUGCUCGGUAGCUGGUGAUUGGAAGGCACUCUGCGACAGUG